GCCUACGACCAUAUCACCCUGAAUGCGCCCGAUCUCGUCUGAUCUCGGAAGCUAAGCAUGGUCGAGCCUGAUUAGUACUUGGAUGGGAGACUACCUGGGAAUACCAGAUGUUGUAGGCU
rnacentral:rRNA from 1 species